AGCCAGAUCACACUGAAACACCGGUUCCCAUGCAAUCACUGAAGUUAAGCAAUAUUGAGUCUGGUCAGUAACUAGAUGGGUGAUUGCUAGGGAGUACCAGGUGUUGUAAG